UACGUAGGGGGCGAGCGUUGUCCGGAAUUACUGGGCGUAAAGGGCGCGCAGGCGGCCGUGUAAGUCCGCUGUGAAAGACCGGGGCUCAACCCCGGGGUGUCAGCGGGGACUGCACGGCUGGAGUCCCGGAGAGGGAGGCGGAAUACCUGGUGUAGCGGUGGAAUGCGUAGAGAUCAGGUGGAACACCGGUGGCGAAGGCGGCAUCCUGGACCGACAUUGACGCUGAGGCGCGAAAGCCAGGGGAGCAAACGGG
rnacentral:rRNA from 1 species